rnacentral:rRNA from 1 species
GUGCCAGCCGCCGCGGUAAUACGUAGGGGUCGAGCGUUGUCCGGAGUUACUGGGCGUAAAGCGCGCGCAGGCGGCGCGAUAAGACCGGCGUGAAAGCCCCCGGCUCAACCGGGGAGGGUCGUUGGUGACUGUCGCGCUUGAAGGCAGCAGGGGUGAGUGGAAUUCCCGGUGUAGUGGUGAAAUGCGUAGAGAUCGGGAGGAACACCCGUGGCGAAGGCGGCUCACUGGGCUGACCUUGACGCUGAGGCGCGAAGGCGUGGGGAGCGAACGGGAUUAGAAACCCCCGUAGUCC